AACUCGGUCAGCCACCGCGAGGAUCAACGCUCGUCGUCACUGGACUUUUGACGACCAGUGUUCGAGAGUGUUUCCUUUUGGCCAAUUAUGGAGUCAUCUUCAAGCAAUUGUAAUCGUCAUGGACUGUUGUGCCAUUGUGGAAGGAGAGCUAUACUCUAAGAUCUGGAACUAAGACGAACCCCGGUCGAUUGUUUUUGGGAUACGCUAAUUGGAAAAUGAAUAAUUGUGGAUUCUUCAAAUGGGUAUCUGAUGAAGAGGAGUUUGAAGGUUCAAAGUCAGAGCUUGUUCAGACGAAGCAGUCGAGCGUGACGCCGCAAGUUUCAAGAGCCGUGUCAAGUGGAGAAUUGCGGGAAAAGAGAUUGAGAUUGAUGUUAUGGAUUUGUUGAAGCUUGUUAUAUUUGCUCUUUUAUUUGGUAUUUUUCUAGGAUUUGUAUUUGGUAGUUUUAACACAUUUGUGCUAAGUAGGGUGUAAGAAUGUAUCCUUCAAUAGAUCACUUGAGCUUUAGUGUGUGUGUAUAUAUUGUAAAGUUCCGAAAAAAAGACAAUGUAACUUUUUUGCAUGGGCACAUGAUGAGAGCACUUCCAUUUACAAGAA